UACGUAGGGUGCAAACGUUGUUCGGAAUUACUGGGCGUAAAGAGCUCGUAGGUGGUUUGUCGCGUUGUUCGUGAAAACUCACAGCUCAACUGUGGGCGUGCGGGCGAUACGGGCAGACUGGAGUACUGCAGGGGAGACUGGAAUUCCUGGUGUAGCGGUGGAAUGCGCAGAUAUCAGGAGGAACACCGGUGGCGAAGGCGGGUCUCUGGGCAGUAACUGACGCUGAGGAGCGAAAGCGUGGGGAGCGAACAGG
rnacentral:rRNA from 1 species